rnacentral:rRNA from 1 species
AUUGAACGCUGGCGGCAGGCCUAACACAUGCAAGUCGCGCGAGCGGCGGACGGGUGAGUAAUGUAUGGGGACUUCCCGAUAGAGGGGGACAACUACUGGAAACGGUAGCUAAUACCGCAUAAUAUCGGAUAAGCCAUAUGGGAUUAGCACGUAGGUGAGGUAAUGGCGCACCUAGGCGACGAACCCAAGCUGGUCUGAGAGGAUGAUCAGCCACAAUGGGACUGAGACACGGCCCGGACUCCUACGGAGGCAGCAGUGGGUAAUAUUGCACAAUGGGAGAAAGCCUGAUGCAGCCAUGCCGCGUGUAUGAAGAAGGCCCUAGGGUUGUAAAGUACUUUCAGUCGGGAGGCGUUACCGACAGAAGAAGCACCGGCUAACUCCGUGCCAGCAGCCGCGGUAAUAC